CAAAGGCAUGGUCCUGACCUUAUUAUCAGCUUUAACUCAACUUACACAUGCAAGUAUCCGCACCCCCGUGAGUACGCCCUCGACCCCCCGCCCGGGGAUCAGGAGCGAGCAUCAGGCACACAAAUCCUAGCCCAAGACGCCCAGCCAAGCCACACCCCCAAGGGAAUUCAGCAGUGAUAAACAUUAAGCCAUGAGUGAAAACUCGACUCAGUCAGGGUUAACAGGGCCGGUAAAACUCGUGCCAGCUACCGCGGUUAUACGGGAGGCCCCAGUAAA
rnacentral:rRNA from 1 species